UACUCUUAUGAGGACUGAUUUUCAGUCGAUUUUAUAACAACUUGAACACUAUCAUGGAUUUAACAGUGUCUUUCUAUGAUGUGAUCGUUUCUAUGGCAACGGCUCGUUCACAGCUAGUUCACGAGUCUCCAGUGCCAGAGUGAUGUUGAGCAGCUCAGAGACGUAAAGAGGUGUUUGGUAUCGAUGAUCCUGUCUCAAGUUUUCAUGCUUGACUAAAUUUCCUCCCCAAACUCCGCCCC